UACGUAGGGGGCUAGCGUUGUCCGGAAUCAUUGGGCGUAAAGCGCGUGUAGGCGGCCCGGUAAGUCCGCUGUGAAAGUCGGGGGCUCAACCCUCGGAUGCCGGUGGAUACUGUCGGGCUAGAGUGCGGAAGAGGCGAGUGGAAUUCCUGGGUGUAGCGGUGAAAUGCGCAGAUAUCAGGAGGAACACCAAUGGCGAAGGCAGCUCGCUGGGACGGUACUGACGCUGAGACGCGAAAGCGUGGGGAGCAAACAGG
rnacentral:rRNA from 1 species